rnacentral:rRNA from 1 species
GACGAACGCUGGCGGCGUGCUUAACACAUGCGAGUCGAACGGAAAGGCCCUGCUUUUGUGGGGUGCUCGAGUGGCGAACGGGUGAGUAACACGUGAGUAACCUGCCCUUGACUUUGGGAUAACUUCAGGAAACUGGGGCUAAUACCGGAUAGGAGCUCCUGCUGCAUGGUGGGGGUUGGAAAGUUUCGGCGGUUGGGGAUGGACUCGCGGCUUAUCAGCUUGUUGGUGGGGUAGUGGCUUACCAAGGCUUUGACGGGUAGCCGGCCUGAGAGGGUGACCGGCCACAUUGGGACUGAAAUACGGCCCAGACUCCUACGGGAGGCAGCAGUGGGGAAUAUUGCACAAUGGGCGGAAGCCUGAUGCAGCAACGCCGCGUGCGGGAUGACGGCCUUCGGGUUGUAAACCGCUUUCGCCUGUGACGAAGCGUGAGUGACGGUAAUGGGUAAAGAAGCACCGGCUAACUACGUG